GAUGAACGCUGGCGGCGUGCCUAAUACAUGCAAGUCGAGCGAACGGACGAGAAGCUUGCUUCUCUGAUGUUAGCGGCGGACGGGUGAGUAACACGUGGAUAACCUACCUAUAAGACUGGGAUAACUUCGGGAAACCGGAGCUAAUACCGGAUGAUAUUUUGAACCGCAUGGUUCAAAAGUGAAAGACGGUCUUGCUGUCACUUAUAGAUGGAUCCGCGCUGCAUUAGCUAGUUGGUAAGGUAACGGCCUACCAAGGCAACGAUGCCUAGCCGACCUGAGAGGGUGAUCGGCCACACUGGAACUGAGACACGGUCCAGACUCCUACGGGAGGCAGCAGUAGGGAAUCUGCCGCAAUGGGCGAAAGCCUGACGGAGCAACGCCGCGUGAGUGAUGAAGGUCUUCGGAUCGUAAAACUCUGUUAUUAGGGAAGAACAGAUGUGUAAGUAACUGUGCACAUCUUGACGGUACCUAAUCAGAAAGCCACGGCUAACUACGUG
rnacentral:rRNA from 1 species